rnacentral:lncRNA from 1 species
AAACGUUGAGGGAGUAAUUGGGUUUCAAAACCGUAGUAAAUCAAAACGGCAAAACGGACAAAACUGUUUGAAUAUGCUUAAUAACAUGAUCAUCUUCUCUAUAUAGAAAAGGAAUUCCACGUUUUAUACUUAAGAGGAGAUAACUCCUUAUCUAAUUGAUAAGACCAAAAUAAAUUGGCUGUUUUAAAUAUAUUUAAAUAUUUAAAUAAAAACAUAUUUGUUCCAACAAUCCCCCACUUGUUUUUAUUUAAAAAACUAUAUAUCAAGCAACAUAUCAUAAAGCUAUGCAUAAGUAAAGGUGUUUCUCAACUUGAACCUGUACAUAGUGUUAGUGAUCCAGAUUAUACUAGAGUAACUUAUAGUUUUGAACUCUAUCUCUGACAACACCACACACAUAACUUUAUUAAGGUGAAGUUCAAAAAGCCAGCACAUUACGGCCAUGUGCUUGUAUCCCAGUAUAGUGAACGCUCUAGAAACUUGCCCAAGAUUUCAUAGGAAGCGGCCUCACUUCCACAUUCACAUAGGUAAGACUAUCAAGGAUAUUUCUGUAGCUCGAUAUCCCACUCAACAUAGAGUAUAGACCUUAUUAAGAGAAAAAAAAAUUCUCAACCUAAAAACGCUUCAGGAUGUCAUGCUUCUUAGGGAUGGACAUGGAAUAAUAUUCCAAAUUAAAAUUAGCAAGACUUCACUCAUAUCACUUGUGACUUGUUAUUACCCUUUGAACCUAUUUCUUGGGAUCUCCAGUCUAUAGGUUGGGUUGCUAUCACAAAUGACUCAAUUUUAUACGGGCUUUAGUCCCAUCCCUUUCGAGGUUUUCCAAACAUUUUCUCAUGUUAAUCCUUUCGUCAAAGGAUCAACCAAAUUUUCUUCAGACCGUACAUGACUGGAAUCGUUUUCUCCCAUAAAGGGGUAUCUGAAAGUAGGUUUCUCAACCAUUCUGCUUCUUCUCCCAUAAAGGGGUAUCUGACAGUAGGUUUCUCAACCAUCCUGCUUCUUCUCCCAUAAAGGGGUAUCUAAACCAUCAUGCUUCUUCUCCCAUAAAAGGGGUAUCUGACAGUAGGUUCAUAAAUUUUAGAAUAAUUAUAACCCCCACUAUUUCGAAGAUUAAAAGGAAAUUUAUUCUCAUAAAAAUCAGCAUCAAGAUUUUUACACACAAAUGGAAAUCAAUUGAAAAUUAAGCUAAUAGGUAUCUAAAAAAAACUAAUCUUUAUA